AGUGAACGCUGGCGGCGUGCCUAACACAUGCAAGUCGAACGAUGAUGGAGGAGCUUGCUCUUCCUGAUUAGUGGCGCACGGGUGAGUAACGCAUAGGUAAUGUGCCCCUUAGUCUGGGAUAGCCACUGGAAACGGUGAUUAAUACUAGAUACUCCUUCUUGUCUCAAGGCAAGUCGGGAAAGUUUUUCGCUAAGGGAUCAGCCUAUGUCCUAUCAGCUAGUUGGUGAGGUAACGGCUCACCAAGGCUAUGACGGGUAUCUGGUUUGAGAGGAUGAUGAGAGACACUGGAACUGAGACACGGUCCAGACUCCUACGGGAGGCAGCAGUGAGGAAUAUUGCACAAUGGAGGAAACUCUGAUGCAGCAACGCCGCGUGGAGGAUGACGCAUUUCGGUGUGUAAACUCCUUUUAAGAGGGAAGAUUAUGACGGUACCUCUUGAAUAAGCACCGGCUAACUCCGUGCCAGCAGCCGCCGUAA
rnacentral:rRNA from 1 species